AUUUUCGCUGGUUUAUUUUCGUCAUCCUUCCACAUCCGUUUUAUUUUUGUCGUCCUCCCACCUCUGUCACUUUCACCGGUCUUUUUUCGUCCGUACCAUUUUUUUUUCUGGCCUCGAUCCCUCUCUCGAUCUAUUUCCUCGCGUGUGAACGCCGCUGCCGCUGCCGCUGCAGAAUCCGCCGCCGCCGCCGCCGCCGCUGCAGAAUCCUUCUCCGUCGCCUCCGCCGUCUUGCUCCUCCCGCCUCACCCCUCUCCUCUCCCUCCAAACCCUAACCGUGCCCGCCUCCCUACCCCCCGCCGUAGUCUCCUUCGCCGUCGGGAGCUCAGCCCGGGAUGGCUGCCGCAGGGUUCCUGGCGGGCUUCCUCCUCGGCCUUCUCGCGCUCGCGGAGGCCGAGGCGACCGCGCUGCUCUGGGUCGCCCGCCGCCUCUACCGCCGGCUGCUUUGGAGAUGGUGAAUGCGACAGUCAGGCGUUGAGGAGGGCGUGUACUAGAGCCCGGUCGUCGGAGGCGCGUGCAGGUUUGUGAUUGAGGGUACCCGCGAGCCGGCGACUAAAGGCAGAGGGCGCGCCAUGUGCUGUGGCUGAUCUGUGUGUGUGUCGUGUUCUGCUUGUGCGUGUGUGGUGUGGACAGCGUGGUGCGUGCUAUGUUCUGCUCUCCUCCAGCAUGUGUGCAACGAUCUGUUCCGGCCAACCGUGGAUGGUAUUUGUGUUUUUGGCCUGGUUAUAGACGAUGCAUCUAUGUUUUGGGAGUUUGUACAAACCAUAGAUGAUCUAACGUGUUGUGAUUUUUUUAGGAGUGUUGUGAUUUCUAAAUAAUGCACUUUUGGGAGUUCCACAUCCUGAUACGUAUAUCAACUGUCAGUCAUGUGAGGCUGCCCAACGGAAAGAUGUGUGUGUUGCUUCUCCUGUUCCUAUUUUUCUACAAUUUUUUUGGGUCUUCUUAAUUAAGAUAUAUGUUUCAGUAGCAAACGAGAUCAUCUUGGCUGUGUUGCAGCUGAUAAGAAAGAAGAUAGAGCUUCAGGUGAACCGUGUCGUCCCUAGGAAUUUGUUGGCCUCGAGGAUUGUUCCAGUAAGUACUUCUGAUGACAACAUGAUGUUGGGCCUCAGGGACAUGGUCUCAAACUUGUGUAGGUAACAAACAGAAAUAUAUUGAAGCACAUUGCUAUCAUCAACUCAUCGUCCACUCGUGCCUGUCGGGUCACGCUCUGCAGCAACGGCGCACGCCGCCGGCACCAUAUGAUAGCUAUGGUAAGUGACUAUGGGAAAGAAGCAGGGGUGUCGGGAUCAUCAUUGAUGGGGUCGUCGGGGAGAAGAUGGGGGCCGAGAAGACAGGAACGGGCUAUAAUUGGCUGUGAAUUGUAGAACGAGAGAGAUAGCGAUGAUGUGGUGCUGCACCAUUGCUCUCCUCCUACUAGCUGAAUUUUGGUAUUGUUGCUGCUAUCUGAAUUCCGCAUACACACAACGAGGUGUUUGAUGUUGACCGACCUUGCGCCUGUUACGAGGGGGAUUUCGUUGCUUGGAGAUCUCCUGGGAGAGGUGCUGCCUGCCGAGGUAACAAGCAUCCCUCUCCAUGUGCUCGACACUCUGUGCCCGACCCCCAACCUCCCUGGAUCCCGGCGCGCCCCUCCCACACACUCCCGACCUCCUCCCGGCGCACAUGCCACCGCCCCUGCUCCUCCCUCCUCCAGGUUCAUAUGAAGCAACAACACACCAGGUUCUUGUUUACAAGCCGGACCCUGGAGAAUCCGGAGAAGGAGAGGGAAGCGGGAGGCGGUGGCGCACAAGGUGCGAAGAUGCCCAAGGCCGGCAGGCCGCGCACGAGGGGGAAUCCGGAUCCGGAGACGCAGAGGGAAGCCAAGAAGAGAAGCCUGGCAGCAGAGGAGGCCUCUCCCGACGCACUCCAUGAUCGGGCUUCAGCCAUGUUUGCAGCCUUUGAGCACGGCGAUGCGCCUCAAUCCGAAGCAAAACCAGAUCGUGUCUACGAUGUGACUGAGUCCGUGACGGAGGAAUCCACUUGUCCACCCAUUCCUCUGCUCCACGAACCCUACAUCCCUGACGAGCUAGCUUCCCAUCCGGGCGCGCACCACGCCUUCUAGCUUGCCCCAGCCAAAUACAAUGCAUCGUCGUUAUGGAUCGAGUGUGGAAGAAGAGGUGGUGCCAAGGAGAAGAGUGAUGUGCCAAUGACGCAGCUCCGUGCGUUGUGGCCAUGGAGGGGAGGCCCGGGAGCAGGAUGAUGCUGGCAGGUAGAUGAAGGAGGCAGGUGGUGGAGGACGAGCUCUUCGCCGGAACCGCAUGGACGACGCAUGCCCCUGCCGACAAGAGCGUAGUCGCCGGAAUCGCGUGGAGGCCGCAAGCCCCGCUGGUGCUCCAAAUUUGCAGCGUGUCCUUGAUGAUUAGGGCGCCAUGUCUCAUCGAUGAACAUGUGGUCGUCCAUCCCGCUCUACCUCUGAUUCGCUUGACAUAUCCACAAGGUACAAUAUGUGUAAUCCAACCACACAUCGCAUAGUUGAAUUCUGAAGCAAUUAGCUUCAUUACUUGCAGUUCAUCUAAUUCUCAUCUAAUGCUGAUUAGUUUAAGCGAGUCAACACAUAGGACAGAAAGACCCUUUUAUAGUUUUCUCAAGGGGAGUGUACCGUGUGCGGGGGCAUAUAUCUGUUCCUUUGUAUGGUUGUUUAACAAUUUGUGAAAUGCUUGUAGUAUGAUAAUCUAGAUAGUUGGGAUAUGUUACAGAAACUGAUGUGUCUGGCCUCACAUGUACAAGAUUUGGUUUAUCACCAAGUGUUCUCUUUCCCACUAAAUUUCACAUCUGCCAUCUAAAAAAACAAAUCCACAUUUAUCUGAUUUCAAGUUCUUAUGGACCUUAUGGUAAAUUAUUUAAGUAAUUUUAGUCGGCUCAAAAGGCUCCAAGCUUCUUUGUCUAUCAUUUCUUGUUCAAAACUGACAAUAGAACUUUGUGAAGCCUUUCAGUUUGUGUUUGUUCAGUUACUUUACCAUUCAGUCUUGAUGCCUGAACUAUGUGAACAUUGUCAGCUUAGUAAAAUGGUAUGAACUUGUGUGCCAUGCACAUAGCAGGUCGAAAAACUACCAUUGUAUUUGCAUAUACUGCUUGUGGCACAAUUUUCUGAAAAUAAGUUGGUGGUCAUUGGUCAACAAAAGUUUUCAGCUUUCGGCACAGUGUUAAUAUUCUUGAAUUUAUUGUGCUUCUAGAAUUAUAGAUUUCCGAAUAAUUAGAUGGUCAGUUAUGCAAUACAAUAUUCCCAUAGUAUUGAAAUCUUCUGUUCUGCAAAGUGUCCUUCAGCAAAUGGCGCUUGCACUUAAUAUGGGAUACUCCAAAUCCAUAAGAGCAGGCUAUAUCUGAUAUUUUCUCCAUACAGAGUCGGCAGCGACUUGAUUUAUAUUUUCCGCUACUUGUCAAUAUGAUGGCCCGUUGUAAAUAAAUGAGGCCUGGCCAUCACUUAUACUUGGGAACUACUUUUCAGUGAUAGUUGUAUUGACUAAGGUACUAUUUUUUUCUUUCUUAAAGAUUGAUUUCUUCAGUGGUGUGUGUUUUACUUUACAAUUUUGAUAAGAUUCCAUUGCCAACACACUUUUUUUCUUGACAAGGAACUACGGCGGGCCUUAUGCCUACCUGAACUAUAUUCAAAACUAUCAGAGUGUAUUGCAGAUUACAGUAGCCUUAAAGAUAAAAUGAUCUGAACAUUUUUUUUCACAAUACACAGAUUGUUGGCCAUUAACAGUUAUCCAUGGGACUAAAACUACUUGAUCUCAAUACAUUCACCUCACAACACUUGUUGGCGAAAACAUGUGCUAUAGCACCAAAGAAGUCGAGGUCAAAUUAAUGAGGAGUUGUGUGAUCUGAGGAGAAACUAUUCUGUUGCAAAUCAGAUAGUUGUUGUAGGAAUUAAAAGGCACAUGAUUGUACUGUUGUUCUGGGAUUUCGUUUCUACACGUUCCUAGACCCUAAUGUCUGCAUGAGGUGUGAAUUCAACGGAUCAGGGAUAUCACAUUACUAAUAGAAUGAUGCCGCGGCAAAGAAAAUGCUCUCGGCCUUGUACGAUCCAUUCACUCGAUUCUUGAAACCAAUACCUUUUCUGGAGCAAGACUAGCUAGCACCCAAGGUGCCCUCGCAGGGGUCCUCAAGGAAACUCAAUAGAUGUCUAUUCUCAGUGGAGAUUAUACCAGAGAUGUUGUUUUGAAAGUAUAUGCCAGGAGAGAAAGAUAUACUUGAAACCCGAUGAGGUCAAUGAUGUGGAGAUUUUACCAGAGAUGUUGUUUUCAAGUAAGAUUUUGUGUGAGAUUAUACCGAUCGCACCAGCACGCCACAUUGUUACUCCACGGCAAAGGCAUCGAGGUAAUUUUUCUUUUGGCACCGAAGUAAUUUUCCUUUCCUUUUAGCCCACUCCCCCGUCUCUUCCUUUCCUAUUCUAAUCAUGCAUGGUGAGCGGCGGUUUCGACGGCAACUGGUUGGCUGCUGCUGGCUUGUACGUGUGGAAGGCAGUUGUUCACGGCAGACCAGUGAGCGGCGGCUGGUGGGCGCGACCACAUGGUGGUUGGAAGGUAGGCUUCGUGGCGUUCAGCCUCGGCCACCGUCGUACCACGAUCUCGCCCCACCCGGAAAGUCAGAUGAAGAGGUGGUGGAUGACUGAUCCCGGAGAGGGGAACAAGCCUCCGAGCACGUGCUCGUCAACUCCAUGCCGGCCGCUCCAAGCGACACUGCUUCGUGUCUUCAAGGCAGGCGCUGAGAUAGCCGUUGCAGUGAGCUGUGGUGUGUGGACUCUGCGGCCAGAUGGGAUUCAGAAUCCUUUUCCGUGAUAGCACAUCCAAGGAAGGAAGGAGAUUGACGUCAGCACCUCAUUAAGGCAUGCAUGCUCUUCACCGAGAGAGGGAAGGGCAUCUUUUUCUUGGGUUGCAGUUUCCACCUUGUUGUUGGGUGAGCUGGUUCGUUGUUUGUCAGAGCUCUUGUGGAUAAUCAGACAUGGGGUGCAUGGCAAAAUUAGGACAGACUGAAGGCAGCGGAUUCCGUGUUGGCCGUGCACUUUGAGGAGAAGACAUUAUCUUUGUAUAAGUGCCCCUACAAUCAUCUCUUUACAGCAGAGAUAAGGCCUUCAGGUAGGCUAGACCAAGUGUCAUGCACUUAUGUAUCUGUAUUUGCGAUGAUCUUUUUAGCAUUCUUAAUUGAUGACAUUUCUGAAGGGAGAUGAUCCUCAUCAUUUCAUAGUUAUUUUUUGUACUGUUGUAAUCUCAAAUUUCACAUUCGAACUUAACUGGUUAUCAAAUAAUUUUGGAACAAAAUUUUACUUUUACCUGCCCUUCACAGAAUCAAAGGUUCAGGAGGACUUUUGUUGCUCUAAUGCUUCUUCGAUGACUAUCUCGCCGUUCUUCCUUGUAGAUAGAUAUGGCCGCAUAAAUUGUACCGAUCCUUCGCUAGGUCCAACGUGCCCCGCACCGGCCUCAAGCACGUGAGACACUGUUACCUUGUGUUCUAACUGGUUACCACAAUCAAAUCCAUUUUUGCCCAGUUAAAUUAGUCAGCUCAUUUUGUUGAUAACAGAGUUGCAUUGGUAAUAUAUACUGAACUGUCUUUGGCAUUCUGUUUUACAAU